UACGUAGGGCGCAAGCGUUAUCCGGAAUUAUUGGGCGUAAAGAGCUCGUAGGCGGCUUGUCACGUCGAUUGUGAAAGCCCGAGGCUUAACCUCGGGUCUGCAGUCGAUACGGGCUAGCUAGAGUGUGGUAGGGGAGAUCGGAAUUCCUGGUGUAGCGGUGAAAUGCGCAGAUAUCAGGAGGAACACCGGUGGCGAAGGCGGAUCUCUGGGCCAUUACUGACGCUGAGGAGCGAAAGCGUGGGGAGCGAACAGG
rnacentral:rRNA from 1 species